rnacentral:rRNA from 1 species
CAAUAGCGUAUAUUUAAGUUGUUGCAGUUAAAAGCUCGUAGUUGGAUUUCGGUUAAGAGCGACCGGUCCGCCGUUUGGUGUGCACUGGUUGGUUUUAACUUCCUGUAGAGGACGUGCUCUGGGCUUAACGGUCUGGACUCGGAGUCUACGUGGUUACUUUGAAAAAUUAGAGUGUUUAAAGCAGGCUAUUGCCUUGAAUACAUUAGCAUGGAAUAAUAAUCUAGGACUUCGGUUCUAUUUUGUUGGUUUCUAGUACUGAAGUAAUGAUUGAUAGGGAUAGUUGGGGGUGGCUAGUAUUGACCGGCCAGAGGUGAAAUUACUUGGAUUCGGUCAAGACUAACUUAUGCGAAAGACAUUCACCAAGGAUGUCUUCUUUAAUUCAAGAACGAAAGUUGGGGGAUCGAAGAUGAUUAGAUACCAU